rfam:Cricetulus griseus cell line CHO-K1, whole genome shotgun sequence.
GCCCAGCUAGCUCAGUCGGUAGAACAUGAGACUCUUAAUCUCAGGGUUAUGGGUUCAUGCACCACGUUGGGCG